rnacentral:rRNA from 1 species
UGAGGAAUAUUGCGCAAUGGAGGAAACUCUGACGCAGCAACGCCGCGUGGGGGAUGAAGCUUUAUGGAGUGUAAACCCCUGUAAGCAGGGACGAAAGGUAGAUAAUCGAAAGGUUAUGUACGUGACGGUACCUGCAGAGUAAGCUCCGGCUAACUCCGUGCCAGCAGCCGCGGUAAUACGGGGGGAGCGAGCGUUGUCCGGAAUUACUGGGCGUAAAGGGCGUGUAGGCGGUUUGAUAAGUCAGAUGUUAAAGGUUCCGGCUUAACCGGAGAAGGUCAUUUGAAACUGUCAGGCUGGAGUGCGAGAGAGGGUAGCGGAAUUCCCAGUGUAGCGGUGAAAUGCGUAGAUAUUGGGAAGAACACCAGUAGCGCAGGCGGCUACCUGGCUCGUAACUGACGCUGAGGCGCGAAAGCGUGGGGAGCAAACAGG